rnacentral:rRNA from 1 species
UACGUAGGGCGCAAGCGUUAUCCGGAAUUAUUGGGCGUAAAGAGCUCGUAGGCGGUUUGUCGCGUCUGCCGUGAAAGUCCGGGGCUCAACUCCGGAUCUGCGGUGGGUACGGGCAGACUAGAGUGAUGUAGGGGAGACUGGAAUUCCUGGUGUAGCGGUGAAAUGCGCAGAUAUCAGGAGGAACACCGAUGGCGAAGGCAGGUCUCUGGGCAACUCCUGACGCUGAGGCGCGAAAGCGUGGGGAGCAAACAGG